rnacentral:lncRNA from 1 species
UGUGGAUGUUGCAGAGAGGGUCAGCUUUAGUCAGGGAAGGCAUCCUAGAUAAGGAGGUAUUUGUGCUAAAACCUGAAUGAUGAGGACUCCACCACGUCAAGAUUUGGAGAAAAGGCAUUCCAUACAGAGAAACAGCAAGUGCAAAGUCCUUGAGAUGGGAAAGAGCAUGGUAUGUUCAAAAAGAAAAAAGAACACCAGCAUGGUGACAACAGAAGGGACAGUGUUGCAGAAGAUGAGGUCAGAGUGAUAGAGAGGAGACAGAUUGGACUUUUGUUCUAAGUACAACAGGAAGCGAUUUCAGCAUUAUAAGGAGAGAAAGGAAAGAAUAUGCAUGAUUCAAAAUGAUCACAUUUUCAUCUGGAUGAAGAUUAAAUUGCAGAGGGGCAAACUUAGAAGAGGAGAGACAAGUUAGAGGUUUUUGUGGUAGUGCAGGUGUUUGACAAUGGUGGUGAGAUUAGCAUGGUAGUACUGGAAAUAGUAAUUAGAUUCUGGAUACACUCUGGGAGUAGGGUCUACAUAUUGAGGGUUUGGAUAUAGAGAACAAGGGGAAGAGAGGAAUCAAGCAUCUCCCCUAGGAUUUUGCCUUGAGCUGCUCGUGAAGUGGAAAUGCAUUUACUGAGAGAAGACUGGGGGAGAACAAUUUAUAAGGGAGGAAAUUAGAAGUUCUACUCCAGAAAAACUGUCCUUAGAAAAAGAUCUGAAAAUAGGACAAAGGGAUUGCUGUGUCCUGUCCAUUCUGUGGAGUCUUGAGCCAUGUUCUAGCUGGCCCAACCUGCAAUUGUCAGCCUCUCUAGGGAUGCCAUACUUGAAUCUCCUUGAGUGCCCUAAUGAUUUUUCUAUUAUAGUUGCCACCUGUCUCCUUUGGCAGGUCUAUGGGCUGUCCAUGUGUUCUUUUUACUCUGACUCUCUAGCACACUCUGGCUGCUAGCUCACUGGUUGGGGUGCUACUUUUUCUUUGCUGGCUUUUUGGUUGACAAACUUUAAGCACUGGGUGUCCUACAAAUGGUGAGAGGUGAGAGGUGAAGUGAUCAUCUGCCAGGAGAUGGUGGCAGGGAGUCCAUUGACGCAUCCCUCUAUUCCCUGAUGUCUUCAUACCUGCUCAGCCUUAGGGAAGCAAAGACUCCGCCUACCCGUUGCCCUCAUUCAACCCAUUCAUAGAUCUCCAUAGGUUAAACUAUUUCAAGGGUCUAUUGCUUUGUGAUCCUCACUCUCAGGUUUCAAGACUCUUCUUUAGGUGUUCAGUGAGUCACCGAGGCAUGGGGGCAGUAAGGAAUACUGCCAAUUUUCUUCCACAGGAAGCUCCUCAGAGCCCACAAGUUCAUUUCAUUUCAGCUCUUAUGAAACCCAACCAGUUUUUUUUUUUUUUUGUAAUUGGUCAAAGACAGAUAAUUCAGAGCUAGUGCUAGAAACUUGCACUAGAGGCUAGCAGUUUCUAGAGGCUUGUUCAGGUCAUUAUCUUUCCAGAAUUUCCUUCUGUACUCAGGUUUUGAGUUUAAAAGCCAAGAUUUUAGAUUUUUUUUUGUUCCCUAGUUUACCUACUGACAAUACUCAAACGAUAGGUGCCCUCUUGUCCCAAGUUGAUAGAGGGCUACCAGAGAAACAGAAAGGAAAAAAAAGAGAAGCAUAUUAUGAAUACUUUAUAAUUAAUGAACACUUACUGCCCUGGCAGGGUAGCCAGUUUUGAAUAUAAACUACAUCAGGGUCCAAGAUAGGGGUUGUAUGGAAAUGAAAGGGGAGUUGGCAGGGACAUGUCCUGCAAGAGUAGAUUAGAAACCUGGUGAAGGUGUCUCAGCAGGUAGUUGUUUAACAGGGCUCAACUGGGAAAGGCGUAGAAUAGGGGCACUAUUAUUUGAUGAACUUUAAUGAAUAAAUAGGCUGGGGAUAUUGAGGGAUAGGUUAAAGCAGGGAAAAAUACAACAUAUAGUCGUAAAGCCAAAUGGCAAUCAAGAAAAGCAGGAAGAUUGUUUUCAUCGUACUCUUUGGGGCACUCCGUUAAUCGGUAGAGUGACAUCUGCACAAACUCUGAUGGUUACCUGAUACCUAAAAUCCUCAACUCUGUUCCAGCUCAGCCACAAGUGAACUGGGUGACUUGGGAGUAGAUAUUUGAAGUUUUUUGUAUUUAAUAUUCCAUCUCCAAAAUAAGAUAUUUAAUCAUAUUAGCCUUUGAAAUUCUAGCUAAGUCCAAAUUCAAUGACAAUUCUAGAUAGAUCGUAUAUUCAGACACACAGACGGGGAGAUGCAUGCGCACAUCUUUCUUUCCUCUGCAACUCAGCCUCCCUGUUGGGGGUGGCUUGGUUUCUGGACUGGAAGUGAUAAAAAGGAGGCACGCUUCUAGCUCAAUAUAUUCCAGCUAUAUAUAACUGUACAACAAUACAUCUAGCAGCAUUCCCAAGUGUGAAACAUGCUGCCUCCAGAUAAACACCUGACCUGUAAAGAAGAGGUCAUCAUGUAUUUAUCUGGUGGCAGCAUCUUUCACACCUGGGAAUGCUGCUAGAUGCUUUUACUGAGUGACAUAAACACUGCCAGCUUUGAGUGGGACUCAGAGCAAAGAAGUGCUCUGUAGCAGGUCCAAGGUAAGGUGCAGCAGCCUUGAUGUGUGGGCCAUAUGGCCUGACAGAUCCGGUGCUAUUAGAGGAAACUGUGGUAGGAAAAGUUGCUGUGUGAGAUUGCUGGCUACAUCUGGUAGGAUAACUGCAAUAGACCCCCAGGGUUCAGGAGCAAGGCCAUGAUCUCUGCAGUAGAGAGUUAUACAGCCUUCAGAAGUAUAGUUCCUGUUGUGUUGCUGGACCCUAGUUGAAACAGCAUUCCUGACAAUGAGACAACAAGUGACCCUAUGACCGGAACUUCCCAUUAUAAGCUGGUUUUUGUUAGACCAUCUACAUGAUGAACUGUCAGCAGUUUAUCCUAAGAAGGAAGUGGUAUGUCUGGAAUCAGUCAUAAGCAGGGCCAGAGGUCAUAAUAUGUAUGAAUGAGUGGCCCAGUCGUCCAUGAAAUCCAUUGGUGUUCCACUGAUGCCUCUCCCUCAAUUAACUAUUGCAGCUGCUGUACCAGUUAAAGCAGUCUAUAACCGCUUACAGAGAAGGGAAAAGGUGAAGCUUGGUUCAUAGACGGAUUUACUCUUUAUGCGGUGCAAGCUAGAAAUGUAUUACUAUUGCAUUACAAACAUAUCUGGGAGUGGCCCUGAAAUACAGUAGGGGCAUGGGAAAUUCUCCCAGUGGACAAAGCUGUAGGAUUGAGUAAAAUAUACAUAUGAACUCAUAGACAGUGGUGAAUAUUUUGGCUGUCUGUUCAGGGGCAUAGAAAAUGAAAUAUUGGGCUGGACGCAUGUGGCUAGACCUAAGAAGCCUUAGAGAGCUUGAGUGUAAAUUGUGAAGAUCUUUGUAUCAAAUGGUUGUAAUAAUCCAUCAUGGAAUAAGCACUAAACAAUCAAGGAGAAGAACCAGCCAUCUUCUUCAUCCACCAACCACGUGCUGGCACAAUGAACAGCAUGAACAAUGAACAGCAUGACCAUGGCAGCAGGGAUGAAAGCUAUGCAUGGGCUCAACAAUGUGGCCUCCCUCUUACGAAGACUGAUCUAGCUCCUGCUAUUGCUGAAGAUUCAACCUGCUGGCAACAGAGACCAAAGGAAAUAGGACCAAUCAGAAUCCCAGAAAACCUGUCUGGAGUAAACUUAUAUGAAGCAAGUGAAUCCAAAAGGGACAAUGGUGAACUGCAGUGGAUGCCGUAGCUCAUUACCCAGAGUCCACCUUCUGGGACAGCAGUACCUAGCUGCUGGGAUUGUUGCCUGCUGAUGGCUCGCAGUUGAAUCACUCCCCUGCAAUUGCCUUCAAAAGGGAACUGCCGUGACCAUGGUUAUGCUCCGUUUCUAGUGGGGAAUUUCAUAUCCAAUUAGUGGUCUAUGUGUAGGCGCAAAGGUCCAGUCACCUCUACUAAUUCAGGAUAUCUCUGAAGCACUAUCUCAGCUUCAGAGCUCUCCAUGGGAGUGACUGAGACCUCAUAACACAGGAUAAGUGCUCCCUUUGCCUAAUCUUGCUUCCCUUACUUCAUUGGAGGUGUUGUUCCCAAGAUCAUUUCCAUAAAACAUUUGCACUCAGUCUCUGAUUCAGAGUCUGUUUUCUACAGAUCCUGACCAUGUAAAAUACAUUAAUUUGACUUUUAAAAUAACAGGGUAUGUUAAAACUAGUUCUACCUAAAAAAUUGAAGUGAGCAAUUGAUUAGUAAACGUAAUUAUAGUAAGCAGUCGAAAGAGUUUAUUUAGUUCCUCUAGUCUCCCGGCCUUUUUUUUUUUUUUUUAACUUAAGCAAGAGUUCUUUCUUUAAAAUAUUUUUUAAAAAUUGACACAUAAUAGUUGUACACAUUUAUGGGGUACAUGGUGGUGUUGUGAUACAUAUAAUGUAUAGUGAUCAGAUCAGGAUAAUCAGCUAUCCAUCACAUCAAAAAUUUAUAAUUUUUUUUGUGUUGGGAACAUUCAAUGUCCUCCUUUUAGUUAUUUGAAACUAUACAAUAUAUUCUUGUUAACUAUACUUAUCUUAUACUACUAUAGAACACUAGAACUUAUUUCUCCUAUCUAGCUGUAAUUGUAUACUUUUUUUUUUGUAUACUUUUUUUUGGAGAUGGAGUGCUGCUCUGUUGCCCAGGCUAGAGUGCAGUGGUGCGAUCUUGGCUUGCUGCCACCUCCGCCUCUCAGGUUCAAGUGAUUCUCCUGCCUCAGCCUCCCAAAUAGCUGGGAAUACAGGCAUGUGCCACUGUGCCUGGCUAAUUUUUAUAUUUUUAGUGGAGACGAAGUUUCACUAUUUUGGCCAGGCUGGUCUCAAACUCCUGACCUCACGUGAUCCACCCGCCUCGGCCUCCCAAAGUGCUGGGAUUACAAGUGUGAGCCACUGUGCCCAGCCCCCUUUCUUGAUUUAUUAAAAAAUUGACUCAGUUUUCUAAAUCCUAACCUAUGAAAGACUGCUUUUCAGAUUGGAUGUCUUUUACCUAAGAAUCUCAAUUAUCUUAUUUUAUUAUUAGAAUUGACAUACCACUAGGUAGAACAUGGAAUUAUUAGUGGAUUGCAAUAUUUUAUACACUGUUGUAAGUUAAAAUCUUUUCCAUCAAGGCCAGCAGUAUAAUCAAUUAUGUGGGCAGUUGCUUUUAUUCAGUAGAGAUGUGGCUAGAUUUGUUAUAAGGAACAAAUGUCACCAGUUAACUGGACAAGAAGUCUGCCUUACAAAGAAUGUUGCUAGCAUUGUGUUCAGAAAAGCUUACAAUAGAUUCCUUACUAUUAGGAAUCUAUUACAUUAUACAUUUACAUGUGGAAGUCCAGCACUCAAAAGUUACUUUCUUCUUCUUAAAUAUGUAUCUUUAAAUUUAUGUUAAAACCAUGUGAUCUGGCACCUUGAUUAGUUCAUAAUUAAGUUAGUAGUCCAUAAUUUGAGAAAUGAAGCUUGUGUAGCUCUGUGAAACAGUCACACACAAGCACACACACACACACAAAUGCACGCACACAUCUAAACCCCACAUGCUCACAUUCACCACAGAAUUCCUUAUUUAAAUAUGCUAACAUCAUAACUACAAACAAAAUGCUUAUCGGUAUACCUAUAAAACAUAACAAAGACAGUGUGAGUUUGGUACAGGAAUAAACUACAAAUGGAACAGGAUAAAGUUCAGAAACAGACUAUGGUAUAUAUGUUCAACUGAUUGGGAAAGAAUGCUUUAUCUUUUCAUUAAAUGAUGCUGGGUUUAAUAGAUAGCUAUAAAAAUAAGGACCUUGACUCCUAUCUCACACCAUAUACAAGAGUCAAUUCUAGAUUGAUUACUGGGCUAAAUAUGUAAAGCAAAACAAAGGGAUUUUAGAGCAAAAUAUAGGUGUACAUUUUUUUGUGACCUUGGAAUAGGCAAAGAAAUAUUGAAUAGAACAUAAAAAGCAUUAAGCAUAAAAGAAAGAAUUGAAAACCUGGAUUAUAUUAAGAAUUUCUGUUUGCCAAAGACACCAUAAGUGGAUUAAGGGGAAAGAUGUGGACUGGAAGAAAAUAUUCACACCCCAUAUAUACGACAAAAGACUUCUGUCAAGAAUAUAUAAAGAGAAGGGCUUCAAGGGGGCAGACCACAGGCAUCUGGUGGAUGCCUCCUCCAGUAAGAGGAACCAAAAUAGCAAGUAAAUAAUCACACAUCGAAUAGAGAAUCUAAGAGAGAAAACUGGCAUUUAACAGAAGUGAUAGGAAACACAUGAGACACAGAAGGAGAGGGAAGUGAGGCAGCCAGCUCAGCCAGGAUUGUCUGGGAAUCCAAAGAGAGUUCCCAGUGUGGGGAAAGGGUAAGUGAAAGAUCUCAAGUAGUUCACAUUCCUAGGGCAAACUCCUGCAAACCUAGCCAUGAGAGAAACCCACAUGGCCCCUGAGAAUAGCAUAAGGAUCUGUCUGGAGACCACAUGACAGCAUUGCUCCAGAGAAGGCACUCAUGCCAGGUCCCACACACCCUGAAUCCUAGGCAGCUGCAGCAUGGUGCCAUUCUGAGAGCCCAGCCCCCACCAGAUUGCAUCCUUUUCUGGGGUCCAAUAUUCCCCACAUCUCCACAAUCCUAGAGCCCUACUGACAUCCCCACAUCUAUUGGGGGGCUCAACAGCCAAAAUCAUUCUGAGCAAAAAGAACAAAGCUAGAACUUCACAUUAACUGACUUCAAAAUAUAUUACAAGGCUAAAAUAACCAAAACAGCAUGGUUUAUGUUAAAAAUAGAUGCAUAGAUCAAUGGAACAAAAUAGAGGACCCAGAAAUAAAUGUAUGUAUUUACAGCCAAUUACUUUUCAACAAAGGUGGCAAGAACAUACCUUGGGGGAAUGGAUGCACUUUUCAAUAAAUGGUGCUGGGAAAACUGGAUUUCUAGAUGCAGAAGAAUGAACCCAGAACCCUAUCUCUCACCAUAAAGAAAAAUCAACUCAAGACAGCUUAAAGACUUAAACAUAGGACCCAAAACUAUAAAACUGCCAGAAGAAACAUAGAGGAAAUAAUCCAGAACAUUCGUGUAGGCAAAUAUUUUAUGGCUAAGACUUCAAAACCACAGGCAACAAAAACGAAAAUAGAAAAAUGAGACUAUAUUAAACUAAGAAGCCUCUGCACAGCACAGGAAACAAGCAACAGAGUGGAGACACAACCUAUUGGAUUGGAGAAAAUAUUUGCAAAUUAUUCAUCUGACAAGGGGUGAAUAUCCA